AGGCCCGUAGCUCAACUGGCAGAGCAGCCGACUCCAAAUCGGCAGGUUGGGGGUUCAAAUCCUCCCGGGCCUGC
rnacentral:tRNA from 1 species